rnacentral:rRNA from 1 species
CGCGUAGGCGGAUUAGUCAGUUGGGGGUGAAAGCCCGGGGCUCAACUCCGGAAUUGCCUUCAAUACUGCUAGUCUUGAGUCCGAGAGAGGGUGGUGGAAUUCCCAGUGUAGAGGUGAAAUUCGUAGAUAUUGGGAAGAACACCAGUGGCGAAGGCGGCCACCUGGCUCGGUACUGACGCUGAGGUGCGAAAGCGUGGGGAGCAAACA